GAUGAACGCUGGCGGCGUGCCUAAUACAUGCAAGUCGAGCGAACAGAUAAGGAGCUUGCUCCUUUGACGUUAGCGGCGGACGGGUGAGUAACACGUGGGUAACCUACCUAUAAGACUGGAAUAACUCCGGGAAACCGGGGCUAAUGCCGGAUAACAUUUAGAACCGCAUGGUUCUAAAGUGAAAGAUGGUUUUACUAUCACUUAUAGAUGGACCCGCGCCGUAUUAGCUAGUUGGUAAGGUAACGGCUUACCAAGGCAACGAUACGUAGCCGACCUGAGAGGGUGAUCGGCCACACUGGAACUGAGACACGGUCCAGACUCCUACGGGAGGCAGCAGUAGGGAAUCUUCCGCAAUGGGCGAAAGCCUGACGGAGCAACGCCGCGUGAGUGAUGAAGGUCGUCGGAUCGUAAAACUCUGUUAUUAGGGAAGAACAAAUGUGUAAGUAACUGUGCACGUCUUGACGGUACCUAAUCAGAAAGCCACGGCUAACUACGUG
rnacentral:rRNA from 1 species